AUUGGGGUGAAGUCGUAACAAGGUAUCCCUACCGGAAGGUGGGGAUGGAUCACCUCCUUUCUACGGAG
rnacentral:rRNA from 1 species